rnacentral:rRNA from 1 species
AUUGAACGCUGGCGGCAGGCCUAACACAUGCAAGUCGAGCGAGCGGCGGACGGGUGAGUAAUGUAUGGGGAUCUGCCUGAUGGAGGGGGAUAACUACUGGAAACGGUAGCUAAUACCGCAUACCAUCAGAUGUACCCAUAUGGGAUUAGCUAGUUGGUACGGUAACGGCUUACCAAGGCGACGAUCCCUAGCUGGUCUGAGAGGAUGACCAGCCAAACUGGAACUGAGACACGGCCCAGACUCCUACGGGAGGCAGCAGUGGGGAAUAUUGCACAAUGGGCGCAAGCCUGAUGCAGCCAUGCCGCGUGUAUGAAGAAGGCCUUCGGGUUGUAAAGUACUUUCAGCGGGGAGGCGUUACCCGCAGAAGAAGCACCGGCUAACUCCGUGCCAGCAGCCGCGGUAAUAC